rnacentral:rRNA from 1 species
AGCCCAGCUUGCUGGGUGGAUUAGUGGCGAACGGGCUGAUUGUAACACGUGAGUAACCUGCCCUUAACUCUGGGAUAAGCCUGGGAAACUGGGUCUAAUACCGGAUAGGAGCGUCCACCGCAUGGUGGGUGUUGGAAAGAUUUAUCGGUUUUGGAUGGACUCGCGGCCUAUCAGCUUGUUGGUGAGGUAAUGGCUCACCAAGGCGACGACGGGUAGCCGGCCUGAGAGGGUGACCGGCCACACUGGGACUGAGACACGGCCCAGACUCCUACGGGAGGCAGCAGUGGGGAAUAUUGCACAAUGGGCGCAAGCCUGAUGCAGCGACGCCGCGUGAGGGAUGACGGCCUUCGGGUUGUAAACCUCUUUCAGUGGGGAAGAAGCGAAAGUGACGGUACCUGCAGAAGAAGCACCGGCUAACUACGUGCCAGCAGCCGCGGUAAUACGUAGGGUGCGAGCGUUAUCCGGAAUUAUUGGGCGUAAAGAGCUCGUAGGCGGUUUGUCGCGUCUGUCGUGAAAGUCCGGGGCUUAACUCCGGAUCUGCGGUGGGUACGGGCAGACUAGAGUGCAGUAGGGGAGACUGGAAUUCCUGGUGUAGCGGUGGAAUGCGCAGAUAUC